UCACCAUGACCCUGAUCCCACU
rnacentral:miRNA from 2 species